AUGACCAAGUCGAUGAUGCCACUGCUUGAAGGAGCCAGUAACAGAAGCGACAGCAGCGGAGGAACUGGCGAUGGUGGUGGCAGCGGAAGGAACAUGAAGCCAGUCCAACUCCCAAAGACCCUGAGAAUCACGGCGGCGAGGGCCAGCCCCAACCAGAGUGUGCGUGCGACGAUCCUGGAUAGAACAAGAGUCAACAUCAAGGAUGACACGACAACCAGAAUCAGUAAGUUGACCGGCAGAAAACAGAUUCAUGGUAAGUCGAGGAACAUGAGCAACAUCAGGAACAGAAUAAGGAGUAGAAAGAUGGCCUCUACUAGCAACAGAAAGUGGAGUACCAUCAGCAGUGAAGACAUGAACAGGAGAAUCCAGCGAGCGAAGAGAAGACAAAGCGGAAGAAUGAGAAGACAUAUGAAAAGAAGCUCCAGAGUCCAGAACCCAUGGGGAUGUACCUGA
rnacentral:rRNA from 1 species